UACGGAGGGUGCGAGCGUUGUCCGGAAUCACUGGGCGUAAAGGGCGCGUAGGCGGCCUGAUAAGUAGGGGGUGAAAUCCUGCGGCUUAACCGCAGGGCUGCCUUCUAAACUGUCAGGCUAGAGCACGGUAGAGGCAGAUGGAAUUCCCGGUGUAGCGGUGGAAUGCGUAGAGAUCGGGAAGAACAUCAGUGGCGAAGGCGAUCUGCUGGGCCGUUGCUGACGCUGAGGCGCGACAGCGUGGGGAGCAAACAGG
rnacentral:rRNA from 1 species